CGGCGGACGGGUGAUUAACACGUGGAUAACCUACCUAUAAGACUGGGAUAACUUCGGGAAACCGGAGCUAAUACCGGAUAACAUGUUGAACCGCAUGGUUCAACAGUGAAAGACGGUUUUGCUGUCACUUAUAGAUGGAUCCGCGCCGCAUUAGCUAGUUGGUAAGGUAACGGCUUACCAAGGCAACGAUGCGUAGCCGACCUGAGAGGGUGAUCGGCCACACUGGAACUGAGACACGGUCCAG
rnacentral:rRNA from 1 species